UUCAUUCACACAUCUUUUAAGUACUGUAACUACUAAUAUUCAUAAUUAAGAUUAAGCUAUGGUAGGCUUAAACAACAGCCAAGUAGUAGUAGAUUGUAUGCUAGUAGAGAUCUAGCUCUACGCAAAAAAAAUGAGACCGACUUCUAGCAGCAGCUACAACGCAUUGUUUAGAAAAAGCAGUAGCGACAAGCAUUCAAUCCCACCGAGAAUCUUAUCUUCUCCACGCAUCCAUCCAACGCUUUGUCGACCAGCACCACCAGACGGAUUCCCCACCAGACCUCCUCCUCCCACGCCUCCGCCACAUGCCCAACCUGCCCUCGCGCGCGCAGUCCAGCCGCCAGCUAGGAGCCCAUAAACAAGCCAGCCGCGCUGCACAACGCUACCGCCCGUAUGCCGCCGCCAGCACCAACCACGCUGGAGCAAGGAGCUCCCCUCGACCCAGGGCGCCUGCCUCCCGUCCGGCGACCGGCUGGAGCAUCACACCCGCGCCAUGGACCUCCGACCCCGACGCCCAAGCUCCCGAUGUUGUUCAGUGCCAGAUCCGCGCCGCCCCACCUUCUCCGACCGUGUCGGGAGCCACCGUCAGGAGCACCCGUGACGUCCAAGCGCAAGUCCCGCUCGAUACUAGCGCCGCUCCUCCACUGCAGGCUACGACGGCCGCCCCAGCUUCACUCCAGCGGCCCACGACUCUGUUCUGCUUUCCCGAGGCAAGGGUGAUUACUGUCGUACUGCUCGUCCAGGCGGCCCCCCGAUGUGGGGAAGGACUGAUGCACCGACGACGCGUAGCGGCGUGGGGGUGGGCCGGCGACACACGACGGAGCGGGGGUGGCCGGCGGCGCGUGGUUUGGCCAGCAGGCGGCGGCAGGAGGUGGAGAUGGGAUUGGGAGGCAGGGACGUGCGGGUGGGUGGGUUAUUUAUUUUAUUUUUUCUCUCUUGUUAGUACGGCUUCCGGUUGAGUUAUAAUAGUACUGCAAGUUGAAUACCCAAAACAGCAUGGGAUUUUCUGUAAACACGCCGACGACGUACGACCAGAAACCCUACGUGCUUUAUUAUUAGGUA